rnacentral:rRNA from 1 species
UACGUAGGUGGCAAGCGUUGUCCGGAAUUAUUGGGCGUAAAGCGCGCGCAGGCGGCGAUCUACGUCUGGGGUGAAAGCCCGGGGCUCAACCUCGGGACUGCCUUGGAUACGGGAUCGCUUGAGAAUCGGAGAGGCAAGGGGAAUUCCACGUGUAGCGGUGAAAUGCGUAGAGAUGUGGAGGAACACCAAUUGCGAAGGCAGCUGGCUACACAUAUAUUGACGCUGAGGCACGAAAGCGUGGGGAUCAAACAGG